rnacentral:rRNA from 1 species
UACAGAGGGUGCAAGCGUUAAUCGGAAUUACUGGGCGUAAAGGGCUCGUAGGCGGCCAACUAAGUCGGAUGUGAAAUCCCCAGGCUCAACUUGGGAACUGCAUCCGAUACUGGAUGGCUUGAAUUCGGGAGAGGGAUGCAGAAUUCCAGGUGUAGCGGUGAAAUGCGUAGAUAUCUGGAGGAAUACCGGUGGCGAAGGCGGCAUCCUGGACCGACAUUGACGCUGAGGAGCGAAAGCUAGGGGAGCAAACGGG